UGGGGAAUAUUGGACAAUGGGCGAAAGCCUGAUCCAGCCAUGCCGCGUGUGUGAAGAAGGUCUUCGGAUUGUAAAGCACUUUAAGUUGGGAGGAAGGGCAUUAACCUAAUACGUUAGUGUUUUGACGUUACCGACAGAAUAAGCACCGGCUAACUCUGUGCCAGCAGCCGCGGUAAUACAGAGGGUGCAAGCGUUAAUCGGAAUUACUGGGCGUAAAGCGCGCGUAGGUGGUUUGUUAAGUUGGAUGUGAAAUCCCCGGGCUCAACCUGGGAACUGCAUUCAAAACUGACUGACUAGAGUAUGGUAGAGGGUGGUGGAAAUUCCUGUGUAGCGGUGAAAUGCGUAGAUAUAGGAAGGAACACCAGUGGCGAAGGCGACCACCUGGACUAAUACUGACACUGAGGUGCGAAAGCGUGGGGAGCAAACA
rnacentral:rRNA from 1 species